rnacentral:rRNA from 1 species
GAGUUUGAUCCUGGCUCAGAACGUACGCUGGCGGCACGCCUAACACAUGCAAGUCGAACGCAGUAGCAAUACUGAGUGGCAGACGGGUGAGUAACAUGUGGGAAUCUGCCUUGUGGUUCAGGACAACAUUGGGAAACCGAUGCUAAUACUGGAUAAGCCCUUACGGGGAAAGUUUUAAUGCCAUAAGAUGAGCCCGCAUUUGAUUAGUUAGUUGGUGAGGUAAUGGCUCACCAAGACAAUGAUCAAUAGCUGAUCUGAGAGGAUGAUCAGCCACACUGGGACUGAGACACGGCCCAGACUCCUACGGGAGGCAGCAGUGGGGAAUCUUGCACAAUGGAGGAAACUCUGAUGCAGCGAUGCCGCGUGAGUGAAGAAGGCCUUUGGGUUGUAAAGCUCUUUUGUAGGGGAAGAUAAUGACUGUACCCUAAGAAUAAGGUCCGGCUAACUUCGUGCCAGCAGCCGCGGUAAUACGAAGGGACCUAGCGUAGUUCGGAAUUACUGGGCGUAAAGCGCGCGUAGGCCGUUGAGUUAGUUAAUUGUGAAAUCCCAAAGCUUAACUUUGGAACUGCAAUUAAAACUGCUCGACUAGAGUUUGAUAGAGGAAAGCGGAAUACAUAGUGUAGAGGUGAAAU